rnacentral:tRNA from 1 species
AAAAAUCUAGUUUAAUAAAAACGUUUAGUUGCAAACUAAGAAAUUUUUUGAUUUUUU